UGCUCGAAAGAGAACUUGAACACAGGUGCUGCAUGGCCGUCGUCAGCUCGUGUCGUGAGAUGUUGGGUUAAGUCCCGCAACGAGCGCAACCCUUGUCAUUAGUUGCUACCGCAAGGAGCACUCUAAUGAGACUGCCGGUGACAAACCGGAGGAAGUGGGGAUGACGUCAGGUCCUCAUGGCCCUUAUGGGUAGGGCUACACACGUCAUACAAUGGCCGGUACAGAGGGCUGCCAACCGCGAGGGGGAGCCAAUCCCAGAAAACCGGUCGUAGUCCGGAUCGUAGUCUGCAACUCGACUGCGUGAAGUCGGAAUCGCUAGUAAUCGCGGAUCAGCUUGCCGCGGUGAAUACGUUCCCGGGUCUU
rnacentral:rRNA from 1 species